rnacentral:lncRNA from 1 species
AGGCGGCGGGUUCGGGCUGGAUGCCAGCGUCCCGCGUCUCCCCAGUCCUCAGGACCCGCCCUGGGUGCCCGGGACCCUAGUGCCCUCUGAUGCGCUGGGGACCCCUGCCUCCGACAUCCCCUGGGGAUCCCUGGGUCCGCGGCCACCUGUGGACUUGAUCACCUUUCACACCCAGGAAACCCCAAGUCCUCCAGAUUUCCCUCAGACUCAGCACACAGGAGACCUCAGCGGCUUCAAGGCCUGAGACCGUUACAUCUAAUCCAGAAGCCCAACAGAUCCCCUCUGGUCCUAUUCCAGAGACUUCUCAGGUCUCCAGGCCCAUGGACUCCCAUCUCUUCUUGUGUGGAGGCCUUCCUUCCUAGGAUCUCCUGCCUCCCUUUCUUAAACUUGAGGUCCACAGAGCCUUGCAGCUUCUACUAGAGUGUUCUUGAGGUUUGUGGAUGGUUAAUAGGAAUAAAAGUAGAACCAUCUGACAAGUCAGCAGAGGACUACGCAUAACCAAAGAGGAGGUGGUGCUCACCUUAGCACCUCACCAGAGUGUCUGCUAUCCAAGUAUAAGACACAGUGCUUUGGUAGGGGGGAAGAGGACCUGCAGUCAGCCGGAGACUGAAGGGAAUGGAAAAGGAGAGCAUUUGGAUGUGUCAGCACUGUCUGUGUAACUGGAAGGGCUGAAGCUGCAAGCAGGAUGUGUGGAUGUCUAGACAGGUUCACAGAUGGAGUCAGUGGAAAAGACA